UACGUAGGGUGCAAGCGUUGUCCGGAAUUAUUGGGCGUAAAGCGCGCGCAGGCGGCCUUUUAAGUCUGAUGUGAAAGCCCACGGCUCAACCGUGGAAGGUCAUUGGAAACUGAGAGGCUUGAGUACAGAAGAGGAAAGCGGAAUUCCACGUGUAGCGGUGAAAUGCGUAGAGAUGUGGAGGAACACCAGUGGCGAAGGCGGCUUUCUGGUCUGUAACUGACGCUGAGGCGCGAAAGCGUGGGGAGCAAACAGG
rnacentral:rRNA from 1 species